rnacentral:rRNA from 1 species
GACGAACGCUGGCGGCGUGCUUAACACAUGCCAGUCGAACGGAAAGGCCCUGCUUUUGUGGGGUGCUCGAGUGGCGAACGGGUGAGUAACACGUGAGUAACCUGCCCUUGACUUUGGGAUAACUUCAGGAAACUGGGGCUAAUACCGGAUAGGAGCUCCUGCUGCAUGGUGGGGGUUGGAAAGUUUCGGCGGUUGGGGAUGGACUCGCGGCUUAUCAGCUUGUUGGUGGGGUAGUGGCUUACCAAGGCUUUGACGGGUAGCCGGCCUGAGAGGGUGACCGGCCACAUUGGGACUGAGAUACGGCACAGACUACUACGGGAGGCAGCAGUGGGGAAGAGUGCACAAUGGGCGGAAGCCUGAUGCAGCAACGCCGCGUGUGGGAUGACGGCCUUCGGGUUGUAAACCGCUUUCGCCUGUGACGAAGCGUGAGUGACGGUAAUGGGUAAAGAAGCACCGGCUAACUACGUG